rnacentral:rRNA from 1 species
UCGAGGAUCUUCGGCAAUGGGCGAAAGCCUGACCGAGCGACGCCGCGUGUGCGAUGAAGGCCUUCGGGUUGUAAAGCACUGUCGAGGGAGAGAAAAGGCGAAAGCCGUGAUCGAUCUCUGGAGGAAGCUCGGGCUAAGUUCGUGCCAGCAGCCGCGGUAAGACGAACCGAGCGAACGUUAUUCGGAAUCACUGGGCUUAAAGGGUGCGUAGGCGGGCCCGUUAGUCAGGGGUGAAAUCCCACGGCCCAACCGUGGAAGUGCCUCUGAUACUGCGGGCCUGGAGGGGGAUAGGGGCGUGCGGAACUUCCGGUGGAGCGGUGAAAUGCGUAGAUAUCGGAAGGAACACCGGUGGCGAAAGCGGCGCGCUGGAUCCCUACUGACGCUGAGGCACGAAAGCCAGGGGAGCAAACGG